rnacentral:rRNA from 1 species
GACGAACCGAGCGAACGUUGUUCGGAAUCACUGGGCUUAAAGGGCGCGUAGGCGGGUGCUCAAGUCCGGGGUGAAAUCCUCCAGCUCAACUGGAGAACUGCCUCGGAUACUGGGUGCCUCGAGGGUGGUAGGGGUAUGCGGAACUAUCGGUGGAGCGGUGAAAUGCGUUGAUAUCGAUAGGAACUUCGGUGGCGAAGGCGGCAUACUGGACCACAUCUGACGCUGAGGCGCGAAAGCCAGGGGAGCAAACGGG